GAUGAAGAACGCAGCGAAAUGCGAUAAGUAAUGUGAAUUGCAGAAUUCAGUGAAUCAUCGAAUCUUUGAACGCACAUUGCGCCCGCCAGCAUUCUGGCGGGCAUGCCUGUUCGAGCGUCAUUUCAACCCUCGAGCCCCCCCGGGGGCCUCGGUGUUUGGGGACGGCACACCAGCCGCCCCCGAAAUGCAGUGGCGACCCCGCCGCAGCCUCCCCUGCGUAGUAGCACACACCUCGCACCGGAGCGCGGAGGCGGUCACGCCGUAAAACGCCCAACUUUCUUAGAGUUGACCUCGGAUCAGGUAGGAAUACCCGCUGAACUUAAGCAUAUCAAUAAGCGGAGGA
rnacentral:misc_RNA from 1 species